rnacentral:rRNA from 1 species
GACGAACGCUGGCGGCGUGCUUAACACAUGCAAGUCGAACGAAGAGCGAUGGAAGCUUGCUUCUAUCAAUCUUAGUGGCGAACGGGUGAGUAACGCGUAAUCAACCUGCCCUUCAGAGGGGGACAACAGUUGGAAACGACUGCUAAUACCGCAUACGAUCCAAUCUCGGCAUCGAGGAUGGAUGAAAGGUGGCCUCUAUUUAUAAGCUAUCACUGAAGGAGGGGAUUGCGUCUGAUUAGCUAGUUGGAGGGGUAACGGCCCACCAAGGCAAUGAUCAGUAGCCGGUCUGAGAGGAUGAACGGCCACAUUGGGACUGAGACACGGCCCAGACUCCUACGGGAGGCAGCAGUGGGGAAUCUUCCGCAAUGGACGAAAGUCUGACGGAGCAACGCCGCGUGAGUGAUGACGGCCUUCGGGUUGUAAAGCUCUGUUAAUCGGGACGAAAGGUCCUCUUGCGAAUAGUUAGAGGAAUUGACGGUACCGGAAGAGAAAGCCACGGCUAAUAGUCCC